rnacentral:tRNA from 1 species
GCCGGAGUGGCGGAACUGGCAGACGCGACGGAUUCAAAAUCCGUUCCCCGCAAGGGGGUGAGGGUUCGACUCCCUCCUUCGGCACCA